AGCGAACGCUGGCGGCAGGCCUAACACAUGCAAGUCGAACGAACUCUUCGGAGUUAGUGGCGGACGGGUGAGUAACACGUGGGAACGUGCCUUUUGGUUCGGAAUAACUCAGGGAAACUUGUGCUAAUACCGAAUGUGCCCUUCGGGGGAAAGAUUUAUCGCCAUUAGAGCGGCCCGCGUCUGAUUAGCUAGUUGGUGAGGUAACGGCUCACCAAGGCGACGAUCAGUAGCUGGUCUGAGAGGAUGACCAGCCACACUGGGACUGAGACACGGCCCAGACUCCUACGGGAGGCAGCAGUGGCGAAUCUUGCGCAAUGGGCGAAAGCCUGACGCAGCCAUGCCGCGUGAAUGAUGAAGGUCUUAGGAUUGUAAAAUUCUUUCACCGGGGACGAUAAUGACGGUACCCGGAGAAGAAGCCCCGGCUAACUUCGUG
rnacentral:rRNA from 1 species